CUCUCUCUCUCUAAAAACAACACUCCCACUCUCCCUCUCCCUCUAUCCUAAGACCAUAAAUAAAAAAAAUAAUAAAUAAAAUAAAAAAAAUAACAACAUUUUCUUCACACCUUCAGCACAGACUCGUGUAAAACCACAUCCCUUGGAAGUAAAUUAAACAUAACACUCUCCCUCUCUCUCCCUGCCUCUCCCUCUCUCUCACUGCCACUCCCUGCCUCCCCCAGAGCUCUGAGAACACCUACGGCUUCGAGACACCCAAGCUUGGAGAACACCUACGGCUUGGAGACACCCAGUAAGUCAGCCUGUAAACACCUGUGGCAGUGCUUCUUCAGAUUGACUCAAGCUUCUGGGAAUUCUACGGAUGCUGUCUUCUCCCUUGGAGCUAAGAUUGGGUCACAGCAAGAAGGAUGGUGAGGUGAGGCAGGCCAGGCUCAACUCAAGGAUGCAGCCAGAAUUUACAAGGAUGCCAAGUAGGAGAUACCCAGUAAGUCAGCCUGUAAACACCUGUAGCAGUCUCCCUGCCCCUCCCUGCCUCCCCCAGAGCUUGGAGAACACCUACGGCGUGGAGACACCCAGUAAGUCAGCCUGUAAACACCUGUGGCAGUUCUGUGUUGAGCAUCACGCCUUCUUCAGAUUAACUCAAGCUUCUGGGAAUUCUGCAGAUGCUGUCUUCUCCCUCAGAGGAGGAUUGUGGAAAGUGCACAGGACAGGUACAAGGAGAGAGUCCCAAGUCCCUCCAGUCAACUACUACUACUACUACUUCUGGUGGUCAUGACUAUUGGGUGUUGAGAAGGGCCUCCAGUGUGGAUAGUCAGUUGUCGGUGGACUCCAGGGCUCACAGAAACACAGUUACAAGAACGCACCAAGCAUCUCUACCCCAUAGAAGGUUAUACCCCAUUUCACUUAAUCAGAACUGAUGGAGAGCAUGGAAGGAUUACUAUCUACACCAAAAAUAUGAUAAAUAUACAAGUUCUAAAUCAGUUCUCUUUUAUAAACAGGAAUAUUGAAAUAAGUACAACAAAGGUAAUUGUAGGGAGCACCAGUUAUAUUAUCUCAGUAAUUUACAGGAUCAAUAGUAAACAUAUAGUUGUUAAGGAAUUCACAGACAUUAUCAAUAAUUUACUAGUUGCUGAAACUUUUAAAAAUAACAAAACAAUUCUCAUUGGGGACUUUAACAUUAAUUUACUUGAACAUUCCACUCAUCUUCCUACCAACUUAUUCCUCAACACAAUGCAAACUCUGCAUCUCACACAUCUCAACCAACAAGAUUUCCUGACAGCCCUGACCUUGGUCAACCAUCAUUACCAGACCAUAUCUGGACUAAUUUCACACCUCCAUCAUUAUCAGAUCAGGCAGCAGCAAGCCUCAGUGGGCCCAGGUCACAGUGGGUCACACUCAGGUCAGAGGUCACAUGGCCACAGUGCACGACCUGACACACAAGAGUGGGUACCACCCUUCAGGUGUGGACAUGGAGGUUGACUCCCUCCACCACCACCACCACCACCACCACUCGGCUAACAAGAAACAACAUCACAAACACCGUAACUCCAGUGAUUGGAAGGCUACCCUCCCCCUGUGGAUGGAGAGAGCCCUCCCCUCCAUACACGCCAUCCACGCACUCCAAGAACCAUACACUUCCGAAGGGCUGCAGUAAGGUGCAUGUGUGUGUGUGUGUGUGUGUGUGUGUGUGUGUGUGUGUGUGUGUGUUGUUGUUGUUGUUGUUGUUGUUGUUGUUGUUGUUGUUGUUGUUGUUGUUGUUGUUGUUGUUGUUGUUGUUGUUGUUGUUGUUGUUGUUGUUGUUGUUGUUGUUGUUGUUGUUGUUGUUGUUGUUGUUGUUGUUGUUGUUGUUGUUUUGCAGGAGGGGACAGUGGAGGGAAGAAUACCAGAUGGAGCUGUAGGAGGCAGAGAAGGAGGAGGAGGAGGAGGAGGAGGAGGCUUCAGCUCAAAGGCAUUAUAUUGUAAAAAAAAAAUGUGUGUGUGUGUCCAGUUCUUCCUUUCUUCCUUCCUCCUCCUCCUCCUCCUCCUCCUCCUCCUCCUCCUCCUCCUCCUCCUCCUCCUCCUCCUCCUCCUCCUCCUCCUCCUCCUCUUGUUGUUGUUGUUGUUGUUGUUGUUGUUUAGUUGUUAAGUAAUAAUAAUAAUAAUAAAUGUAAUUGAUUUUUUAAUGUAAUUCUUGUCAUCUUAAGGAAACUAGUCUUGUGUAAUUAGAUAAUAUAUGUAACUAGAAAUGUAUAUAAUAUUUACAUGUAAUUAUAUAUAUGUAAUCUCACUAACUACCUCUCCCUCUCUCUGAUUGUGGUUUUGGAAUAAAUAAAUAAAUAUGUAAUUAUUUCAUUAUUUUAUUUACUAAAACUAACACACACACACACACACACACACAGUAGUAGUAGUAGUAGUAGUAGUAUUUUAUAAGUUGUGUAAGUGUCUGUCUGUCUCUUCCUCCUCCUCCUCCUCCUAACUACAACAAUUGCAAGAUGAACACCACCACCACCAUCCCAGAGAACAGUAGUAGUAGCA